rnacentral:tRNA from 1 species
GGAUUUGUACCUGAACGCAAAAGGGCUACUUUGAUGGAGUAGAACACGAGGGUUAAACUCCCUCCAAAUCUU